UACGGAGGGAGCUAGCGUUGUUCGGAAUUACUGGGCGUAAAGCGCACGUAGGCGGCAUAGUAAGUCAGGGGUGAAAUCCCGGAGCUCAACUCCGGAACUGCCCUUGAAACUGCUAAGCUUGAAUCUUGGAGAGGCGAGUGGAAUUCCGAGUGUAGAGGUGAAAUUCGUAGAUAUUCGGAAGAACACCAGUGGCGAAGGCGACUCGCUGGACAAGUAUUGACGCUGAGGUGCGAAAGCGUGGGGAGCAAACAGG
rnacentral:rRNA from 1 species